UACGGGGGGGCAAGCGUUGUUCGGAAUUACUGGGCGUAAAGCGCGUGUAGGCGGCUCUUCAAGUCGAGUGUGAAAGCUCCAGGCUUACCUGGGAAUUGCGCUCGAUACUGUUGAGCUAGAGUGUGGAAGGGGCUACUGGAAUUCCGUGUGUAGCGGUGAAUGCGUAGAUAUACGGAGGAACACCUGCGGCGAAGGCGGUAGCUGGCCAACACUGACGCUGACGACGCGAAGCUAGGGAGCAACGG
rnacentral:rRNA from 1 species